GUGCCAGCAGCCGCGGUAAUACCGGCAGCCCGAGUGGUGGCCGAUCUUAUUGGGCCUAAAGCGUCCGUAGCUGGCCUCGCAAGUCCGUCGGGAAAUCCAGUAGCCCAACUACUGGGCGUCCGGCGGAAACUACAAGGCUUGGGACCGGAAGGCUCGAGGGGUACGUCCGGGGUAGGAGUGAAAUCCCAUAAUCCUGGACGGACCGCCGGUGGCGAAAGCGCCUCGAGAGGACGGACCCGACGGUGAGGAACGAAAGCCAGGGUCUCGAACCGGAUUAGAAACCCGUGUAGUCC
rnacentral:rRNA from 1 species